rnacentral:rRNA from 1 species
UAGAGCGGCGGACGGCUGAGUAACACGUAGGAAUCUGCCCCUUUCUGGGGAAUAGCUUACCGAAAGGUGAGGUAAUACCCCAUAGUCUUGUCCUUUUUGGAUAAGUAAAGGCUUCGGCCGGAAAGGGAUGAGCCUGCGUCCUAUCAGGUAGUUGGUGAGGUAAAAGCUCACCAAGCCUAUGACGGGUAGCUAAUCUGAGAGGAUGAUUAGCCAGAGGGGGACUGAGACACGGCCCCC